rnacentral:lncRNA from 1 species
CGUUGCAGCUGGCGUUGAUGAUUUUGGUGGUCACGUAGCAAUUAUCCAAGUAAGUCUUUUGGAGGAGGACGGUCCUUCUGAUGUCCUCUAGCCUGGGGCUGCCGUGGGGGGCCUGGCUGCUGUUGCACUUCUCCAGCUGCCCCUGCACCUUCUGCAGCUGCCCCUGCAGCCCUUGGUUGGCCUUCAGCGUGGCGUUGAGGGUUCGUGUCAGGUUGGCAUUCCGGCCGCUCAGGCUGAUGAUUUUAUGGUAGUGCUCCUGCAGCUGCUCAUCCAGCAGCCGGACGUGCUUAUCGGUGCCGGCGUGCGCGUUGCCAUACACCAUGAAGAGCACCAAGCCCAGGAUGAUGAGGAACUGGAUGAGGGAGGUGAAGAGGAAGAUGUAGCGCAUGUAGAACGCGCAGUCCUGUUUGGGCAUCGCCUGUUUGCUCUCCAGCCCGAACUUGGCCAUGCCGUAGCUGUUUUUCUCCAUGCUGCCCGCGCUCUGCUGGCUGCACCGCAGGGCUGUCCCUUAUCUAUGGGGCCACGCCGG